rnacentral:tRNA from 1 species
GCGGGUGUGGCGGAAUUGGUAGACGCACCAGAUUUAGGUUCUGGCGCCGCGAGGCGUGGGGGUUCAAGUCCCUCCACCCGCA